GACGUAGGGCGCGAGCGUUGUCCGGAUUUAUUGGGCGUAAAGAGCUCGUAGGCGGCUUGUCGCGUCGAAUGUGAAAACCCACAGCUCAACUGUGGGCUUGCAUUCGAUACGGGCAGGCUAGAGUUCGGUAGGGGAGACUGGAAUUCCUGGUGUAGCGGUGAAAUGCGCAGAUAUCAGGAGGAACACCGGUGGCGAAGGCCGGUCUCUGGGCCGAUACUGACGCUGAGGAACGAAAGCGUGGGGAGCGAACAGG
rnacentral:rRNA from 1 species